UACUAACUUGAUCGUCGGAGGGUAUUUGGUCGACACCACACCGGUGCCCACGGCGAGAACACUAUCUUUUUCUUUGCAGGUUGCUAGUUGCGGCGAGCGUGGACUAUGCGGCUCACUGAUGAUUUCACGGCAUCAUCAAUAUCUGUGUUUGUGUUCGUUCAAUGGCCUCACUGGUUGGUUGGGCUUUACAAAAUAAAGCAGCAGAAAAAGACAGCAGCAGAAUUUUUUGGUCCCCAUGAAUAGAUUUUCUUAUAUGGAUUGUCGAUGAAGCCAUCCAAUACAAAGCCGACAAUAGAUGGAUUUGAUUGAAAUGGAGUUGCCUAGCUGAGCUGUCUUGUCUAAACUAACAGCUUACACAUCGGUUUGACAUCUCACAUUUUUAGCUACUUUCACCCCAAAACGUGUUACCUAGACUAGACGAAGACAAAUUUUCUACUUGUUACCUAGACUAGACGAAGACAAAUAGACAAAUUUCCUCUCUCUCUCUCUCUCUCAUGCAGGACAGGUUGGUGGGGGGAAACAAGAAGGGAAAA